rnacentral:misc_RNA from 1 species
UUAACUCUGCGCUGUGACUCAGAAGGACGGGUUACGCUGGAGCUUUCGCUGAGCCGCCGGCGGGCGCUGUGACGCCAGACCCCCUCCCAGGGGGGCCCGCCGAGGCAACUGUUUCGGGGUAUGUUCGCAGUGGGUGUGGGAGCUGUAGUGCUCUAUAAUGAUCCCUCCGCUGGUUCACCAACGGAGA